rnacentral:rRNA from 1 species
AUUGAACGCUGGCGGCAGGCCUAACACAUGCAAGUCGAAUGGUAACAGGAAACAGCUUGCUGUUUCGCUGACGAGUGGCGGACGGGUGAGUAAUGUCUGGGAAACUGCCUGAUGGAGGGGGAUAACUACUGGAAACGGUAGCUAAUACCGCAUAACGUCGCAAGACCAAAGAGGGGGACCUUCGGGCCUCUUGCCAUCAGAUGUGCCCAGAUGGGAUUAGCUAGUAGGUGGGGUAACGGCUCACCUAGGCGACGAUCCCUAGCUGGUCUGAGAGGAUGAGCAGCCACACUGGAACUGAGACACGGUCCAGACUCCUACGGGAGGCAGCAGUGGGGAAUAUUGCACAAUGGGCGCAAGCCUGAUGCAGCCAUGCCGCGUGUAUGAAGAAGGCCUUCGGGUUGUAAAGUACUUUCAGCGGGGAGGAAGGGAGUAAAGUUAAUACCUUUGCUCAUUGACGUUACCCGCAGAAGAAGCACCGGCUAACUCCGUG